GGGGCCGUAGUUCAGCUGGUUAGAACGCCUGCCUGUCACGCAGGAGGUCGCGAGUUCGAAUCUCGUCGGCCCCGCCA
rnacentral:tRNA from 1 species